UGCAGAAUUUGUUGGCGCUAUAUAAAUAAUAACAUAAUAAUAGUAAUUGUCCAUGAGAGUGUUAUAUAUAGGUUUAGCUCUGAUGAUGCCUAUGCACAACAGACUAUAAUCAAUGCAGGCAGUGUUUGGUUUUCUGGGACAAUAUACUCUACGUGGAUUUAUUGAAGAUAACUAAUCUUAGAAGACACAUAAAAGUUACUAUUUGAUAUGUUGCACCAAAGUGGUAGCCUUUGCCACCAGAUGUCUUUCGGAGGGGUACAUUGGCCCUGUUAACUUGAUGGAAAACGAAGCAUAAAUUGUGAAAUCGAUCUCUUCUAGCAGAGUGUAGUCAUGGUUGGAUUAGUUUUUUUUAGAGUAAAAUUAAAAUAAGUUGUUGAGCACUGACAUCAGCCUGUUGCAAGCAGAAGAUAAAGAAUGCCAGUGUAAGAAUUGAUCAUCUGGUGUGUAGAUAGAAACCAAAAUUAAGGCAUUUACAUGCCAAUAAUUCGGAUAUAUUUUUCUUAGUUCUUGAAUAAGUGUUUCACCGGUUGAGUUAAUGCCUUCUAUCUGAAGAGACAGGCAAGGAAAAUGGAAUUUUGUGUGACGGAUAUCAUUUUCCAGAAGCCCUGCCAAUUGAUGAUACAAAAUGAAUUGCUUUUUUUUAUUAAGCUGCUCUAUUUUGUUAUGAUUAACUCAAUUAGUUCUUCAGGUAUCAUGUUCUAUAACAGUUGUACUGAACCAAAAACAUUAUUCUGUUUUUAAAGACUGUGACCUUUACUUUUAUAGUAAAUUAAUAUUUUCACGAUAAUUUUAUGUGGAAAUAAAAAAAAA